rnacentral:lncRNA from 1 species
UCUCUAGUGCCUCCCGCUGCGCAGCCCGACGCCGAGUGAGUUGUGAGUGUUGUGACCUGUUGCCGGCUGCCAUCGAGUCACCGAUGUCGACCUCAGCCCUCCAACAUUGCCCGAAUUUUCUGUGUGAGCCCCUCUCUCUCUCUCUAUCGUUCUUGUAGUUCAUGAUUACGAUGGAUAUGUGAAUAAUUAAAAUUUAAGAGGCUGGGAUUAUGGGGAGAAGCAUAAUUUGAUUUAAGGUAAUUUCUAUGGGUUUAUGUGUUUUCCUCAAUUUGAUUUCUUUACUCGGACUUCAGAAGUUUUAACGGAAUGUGCAUGAUUUUUAGUGGUGCUUGAGUGUAUGGGUUUUGAAUCUUCUGCUGAAGUUAGAGCUGGAAGCUCUGAUUUGUUUGCUUUUGUUCUAUUUGUUGUUUAGAAAUCUAAAUGAUUUUAAGGCUCGUUGAAGGGAAAAGCUUUUGAUCGGUGAUGUGUUUAUGCAUGCUUACUCUAAUUUGUUAUGUUCUAGUGGAGUUGAACCAAGAAUAAAUGAUAGUAUUCUGAAAUGAAAAUUAUGGAAAUGACUAUAGCUGGGGUGAUUUUAAUAUGCUCUUCAAUAUCUUAUUUGCAUAUGAAUGCAAUUUUUUUUUUAGCUCACGGAUCAAGGUUGUAUCAUGUAUUUUUUUUUUUUUUUUAUAAUAUCAGGUUGUAUUGGAUUAUAUUUUCAUAUAUAUAUAUAUAUAUAUAUAUAUAUAUGUGUGAUAUAUAUGAUUUUACGUUUUAUUAUAUUUAUAUAUUGAUUGAAGAAUUUUUAAUAUUGUUGAAUUAAGUAUUAAUAAAUGAUGUCGCUAUUGCUGUUGUUGACGGUAGACAGUCAGAGACUAAACUAUCGCACUAGCUCACCUCAAUUUCUGGAUUUG